rnacentral:lncRNA from 1 species
UGACCUUGCACUUGAAGUGCUAAGCAAGGUGAAAAACAACAUAUCCAAACAUGAAAAAUUGCUGAUUUCGAUUCCUAAAGUAAUAUUUUUCUAGCUAGAACUAUUUCUGUUAUGAGCUGGCAUGCACAUACAGAGAGAAAGUUAAGAUUUUCCUUCAGCAAUAUGUGAUAUCUCCCACUCAACUAGAUAACUGAGAUGCUAUUUUUCUUCAUGAAAAGCACUUUUGCAUGUCUGUAGGCAAUACAACCCAAAAGCAAUUUGAGAGGAAAGGUAGGUUUUGCAUUUGUGGCAAAAGACUGAGCGUUCAUUGCGGUUCUGAUUGUCCUGCCCUCUGAGCCAGCCUCUUUCCCCUAGGGUCCCAUGGGGUGAGGUGGACCAGGGGGUCUCUUGACCAGAAACCUUCUCCAACCUCAGAGCACACUACAACCAAGAAUCACUGUGACACAGGCUGCCAAGAGUCCUUGUUUUCCAUGGGACCAACAUGACAGCAAGAUACAGAUCAACAUGGCAGCAAGCAGGAGGACUUGAAAAUAUUCACUGGCGUUUUCAGCACUACUAAGUAAGAACAGGAGCUCCCAGCAACAUCACUUUGGACAUCCGAGCACAUGGACAGAACGUGGUGAAGGAGCCCUGGGGAGGGAGGGCAAUGGAGAAGACCUGCCCAAUAUUUCACCACUUUCUCGUGCAGGCAUUCAGUGGAGUCGGCCCAGGAGCUGAAGAUGCUGCAGAGGUGGGUUAUAGCCAUGUGCAUUUUCAAAGAAGCUGGCACAGCUCCUGACCAUUUUGAAACAUUUGCUUCUGGAAUUUGUAAUGCUUGUACCAGUUAAAUACUAGAUUAUCAUAAGCGUAAUUUACAUGUUUCCCAAGUAAGGGAAUGCGAGUGGAGAAGAGAUUUUCUGAAUGUUCAUAUUUCCAAAUUAAACCAGUGUAAAUGAGCCUGCUGUUCAAUUCAGUGUGUAAUGCAUUAUUUCAUGGCUGUCUCCUCAAUAUUACGGGCCCCUUUUACAUCAGGCAGUGUCACACCCCA